GGCCUAGUGGGUAGUGACCCUGCCUGUGAAGCCGAUGGUCCUGGGUUCGAAUCCCGGUAAGGGCAUUUAUUUGUGUGAUGAGCACAGAUAUUUGCUCCUGAGUCAUGGGUGUUUUCUAUGUAUUUAAGUAUUUAUAUAUUAUAUAUAUCUGAGGUAGUGAGUAGUGACCCUGCCUACGAAGCCGAUGGUCCCGGGUUCGAAUCCCGGUAAGGGCAUUUAUUUGCGUGAUGAGCAAAGAUGUUCCUGAGUCAUGGGUGUUUUCUAUGUAUAUAAGUAUACACAAGUAUUUAUAUAUUAUAUAUAUCGUUGUC